GUCCACGCUGUAAACGAUGGAUGCUAGAUGUCGGAGGUAUUGACCCCUUCGGCGUCGCAGCUAACGCAUUAAGCAUCCCGCCUGGGGAGUACGGCCGCAAGGCUAAAACUCAAAGGAAUUGACGGGGGCCCGCACAAGCGGUGGAGCAUGUGGUUUAAUUCGACGCAACGCGAAGAACCUUACCUGGGUUUGACAUGACCCUGUAACACCCGGAAACGGGUGCCCCAGCAAUGGCAGGGCCACAGGUGGUGCAUGGCUGUCGU
rnacentral:rRNA from 1 species